GUGCCUACUGAGCUGAAACGCAGU
rnacentral:miRNA from 1 species